ACAGUAGAUGAUAAAUCUUUCUCCCCCACCCCUUCUACUCCAUCGUUUGUUUUUCCUCAGUGGGAAAAGGAGUGGAAACGAAAUAACAAGUGUUUUCGCGCAAACUCACGAGUUUGAGAAAACUAACCUUGUGCUUAUACACACAGACACACAGACACACAUAUAUAUUUAUAUUAUAGUUGUUGAGUAUAUAAACAUAUAUAAGUAUAUAUAGAUAUACAAAUAUAUGUUUAUAUUAACUUUUAUUUGUCUGAAUAAUUAGUUUUAUAGGUGCUUAUAAUUAUUAUGUCGUCCCAAAGCAAUUCCCUUUUCCAAACCCAAACUAUUUUCGACUCCCUCAGCUAUGGUCCCGCUCCAGAAGCCGACACCAUCGUCCAGGAAUGGUUAAAUAAACAUGAAAGAAAAUUUGGACAUUUCAUUGACGGAAAGUGGGAUAAACCAGAAGGACGAGAGACCGUUAACAGCACAAACCCUUCAACAGAUGAAAUUCUAGCCACAACCAUCCAGGGUGUACAAGAUGAUGUUGAAGCUGUUGUUAAGGCUGCAAAGAAAGCCUUUACUUCAUGGAGUACCCUGUCACCCCACACAAGGGCUCGUUAUCUCUACAGUAUUGCAAGAAACAUUCAGAAGCACCAGAAGUUGUUGGCGGUGCUGGAGAGCAUGGAUAAUGGUAAACCAAUCCGAGAGACUCGUGACUAUGAUAUUCCAACAGUUAUAAACCACGUCUACUAUCAUGCUGGAUGGGCUCAGCUGAUGGACACCGAAAUGAGGGGCUGGAAACCACUUGGUGUUGUCGUGGGCAUCGUUCCAUGGAAUUUUCCACUGAUGAUCCUCAUGUGGAAAGUAUGUCCUGCCUUGGCAAUGGGUAACACAGUCAUCUUAAAACCAGCAUCUUAUACCCGGCUCAGCUGCCUGCUACUGGCUGAGAUCUUUGCCCAGGCUGGGUUGCCUGCAGGGGUAUUUAAUGUUGUCACUGGCAAUGGAGCAUUUGGCAGCAGUUUAGCGGACCAUAUUGAUGUUAACAAAGUAGCUUUCACUGGAUCCACUGGCGUUGGUCGGAAACUGCGUCAAUUGACCGCUGGAAGUGGCAAAAAGUUGUCACUGGAAUUGGGAGGAAAAUCUCCAGUGAUAGUCUUUGAAAAUGCUGACCUUGAUAGUGCUGUGGAGGGUGUAGUUGAUGCCAUCUGGUUUAAUCAAGGACAGGUCUGCUGUGCCGGAUCAAAGCUUCUUGUGCAAGAACCCAUUUAUGAAGAAAUGAUCAGCAGACUUAAGAAGCGAUUGGAUUGUUUUCGCAUAGGAUCUGGCCAAGACAAAGCCAUAGAUAUGGGUGCCAUUGUGAACGAGAGUCAAAGAAAAUCUAUUGAUUCUUAUGUAGAAGAAGCAAGGAACGAAGGAGCCAAGGUGUAUCAACCAUUGUUGACGAUGCCAAACAAAAGAUGUUUCUAUCUACCCACCUUAAUUACAGAUGUCCAGACAGUCUCCAGAGUUGUUGAAGAAGAGAUCUUUGGUCCUGUGCUGGUAGCCAUGUCUUUCCGUACAGCAAAAGAAGCCAUCAAAUUGGCCAACAACACGAUAUAUGGUCUUGGAGCGAGUGUGUGGACAGAAACCUCAGCUCUUGGUUUAGAAGUGGCAUCAGCCAUCCAUGCCGGAGCCGUCUGGAUCAACUGCCACAACGUGUUUGAUGCAGCUGCUGGAUUUGGAGGGUUUAAACAGAGUGGUUAUGGACGCGAUGGUGGGAAAGAGGGUUUGUAUGAGUAUGUGCAACCAUCUUGGAUGAAUAAACCAAAACAUGAAAAAGUUGAAGUUGAUAUGAAGGCUUUUGGUUCUGCUGAAUUCUCUCACUCUUUGCCAGGCAACCAAAGUGUAAUUCCACCCAACACUGAUCUUACAACAGCACCAAGUGUUGACAGAACUUACAAAUUGUAUUACGGGGGAGGUCAGAAGCGUCCAGAUGGUCAGGCCUCUCGCACCAUCUUCAACAACUCUGGGAAAAUGGUUGGUGUGGUUCCAGAAAGCAACCGCAAGGAUGUCCGCAAUGCUGUGGAAGCUGCACAGAAAGCUGCCCCUGGCUGGGCCAACAAGACCUCACGUCUACGCUCACAGAUCAUGUAUUACAUUGCCGAGAACCUAGGCGUUCGUGGUGACGAGAAUGCUAAACUUUUACAUGAAAUGACUGGUCGGGAGAUGAAUGAUUGUCUCAAUGAAGUUCAGUUGUCCAUAGAACGGUUGUUUCACUGGGCAGCCUACUGUGACAAAUAUGGUGGUACUGUGCAGGAAACCACUCUCUAUGGUUUGACCGUUAAAAUCCACCAAGCCGUUGGUGUUGUGGGAAUUGCUUGCCCUGAUGAGAAUCCACUGCUUAGUUUUGUAUCCCUGUUUGCUCCUGCUUUUGCCCGGGGUAAUGUCACAGUCAUUGUCCCAAGUGAGAAACAUCCCCUGUCUGCUAUGAACAUGUACCAGAUAUUUGACACAUCAGACGUUCCUGCUGGAGUCAUUAAUUUGCUGUCUGGUAACAGAGACCAUAUUUCCAAAUACCUCACAGAGCACCACAAUGUUCAAGCCAUAUGGUAUUUUGGAACUGCUGAAGGAUCAGCAUUUGUUGAAUUCACUUCAGCAAUAAACUGCAAGAGAACCUUUGUAAAUUAUGGUCAGCCACGAGAUUGGACUGACUCUGAGCAAGGCCAAGGAGAAGAAUUUCUUUACCAUUCCAUUCAAUGCAAGAACAUUUGGCUACCAAUGGGUGACAUUUUUGCCAACUAAAGUCACAUCUUGUACAUGUUUCUUUCUUUAAUGUUUUGAUGCAGUUCCAUCAUGUCAGAAUAUUUCAGUCUUUUUUUGUGCCAAUAUUUGAUACCAAUUUGUCAUCUUUUAGAAUUGGUUUGAUCCCAAUUUGAUAUCCUGCCAAAUAAGCUGUGAGUUAGGUAUCUAGUCAAAUUGGUAAGAUAGCAGUUUGGUAUGUUGUCAAGUUGGUAAGAAAUCAGUUUGGUAUCUUAGCAAAUAUAAAUCCAUGUUGACAAAGUCAAUCAGAUGACAGAGCGAGUGUUUCUGUUAUUUUGAUGGAAAUUGUGCUGAAGACUAUUCAAAGUUUUGUUUAAAAAAAUCACUUUUUUUUCCUGUUUUCUAUUUGAGAGAAUAUAAGCCAUAUUUUAGAAUAUAAGGUGUAUUUUUGGAAUAUAUUUCGAAAAUAAAGUAUAUUUUUAAAAUC
rnacentral:misc_RNA from 1 species